UGCUCUUUGACGUUAGCGGCGGAGGGUGAGUAACACGUGGGCAACCUACCUUAUAGUUUGGGAUAACUCCGGGAAACCGGGGCUAAUACCGAAUAAUCUAUUUCACUUCAUGGUGAAAUACUGAAAGACGGUCUCGGCUGUCGCUAUAAGAUGGGCCCGCGGCGCAUUAGCUAGUUGGUGAGGUAACGGCUCACCAAGGCGACGAUGCGUAGCCGACCUGAGAGGGUGAUCGGCCACACUGGGACUGAGACACGGCCCAGACUCCUACGGGAGGCAGCAGUAGGGAAUCUUCCACAAUGGGCGAAAGCCUGAUGGAGCAACGCCGCGUGAGUGAAGAAGGUUUUCGGAUCGUAAAACUCUGUUGUAAGGGAAGAACAAGUACAGUAGUAACUGGCUGUACCUUGACGGUACCUUAUUAGAAAGCCACGGCUAACUACGUGCCAGCAGCCGCGGUAAUACGUAGGUGGCAAGCGUUGUCCGGAAUUAUUGGGCGUAAAGCGCGCGCAGGCGGUCCUUUA
rnacentral:rRNA from 1 species